rnacentral:rRNA from 1 species
UUGAUCUCAAAUCARGUAGGACUACCCGCUGAACUUAAGCAUAUCA